AGGGCCUUUCGGGCGGCCGCGUGGGCUGGUUCUCACGAGGAAAGUCCGGGCUCCGCAGGACACGGUGGUGGGUAACGCCCACCGGGGGUAACCCCAGGGAAAGUGCCACAGAAAACAAACCGCCGCCGGCUUCGGCUGACGGUAAGGGUGAAAAGGCGAGGUAAGAGCUCACCGCGCGUUUGGUGACAAACGCGGCAGGGUAAACCCCACCGGGAGAAAGUCCAAAUAGGAAGAGAGGCGUGGUCCGCGCCGUUUCAUCUUCGGGUAGGACGUUCGAGGCGGCCGGCAACGGUCGCCCUAGAGGAAUGGUCGCCACUCUCUUCGGAGAGAGACAGAACCCGGCUUACAGAAAAGUCCUCCCG
rnacentral:RNase_P_RNA from 1 species